AAUGGGGCGGUAUUAAGUUUGGGCCAUAAAACAGCUCAGCAAUAACCUUUUCAUUUAAGAAGUGUACUGAAAAUUGAAAAGAGAGCAAGUAGCUUUGAUUGCUUCAAUAAGUUUAUUGAACGUUUAUUUUAUAGGUUAAAGUUCCGAGUUAAAAAUGGUUAAGGUACUAAUUAAAUGUGAUGCCUUCUAACUUAAUCUUAUUUUGUGCCCUUUGGACUAUGCACAAAAGUUACUUAUAGAGCAGCCCGCCAUAUAUUGGCUUAAUCUUAACGGUGCAUUGAUAUGAAUUCAGGUGUAGUAUUGCACUUCGUUAAGCCAUUUCAUCAGUCUAUAAUUCCAUUGGCUUGGCAUUCCCCUUAUCAUACCAGUCUGCUGCCAUAAAUUGACAAGCCAUAGGUUGGUACAUAUGUAUAUAUAUGGUCGGAAAUGUUUCGGUCUGAUUAAGACCUCAACUGUGUGAUUUGAUUAGAUUUCCUCUUCCUGGCCGGAGCUAAAAAACAACUAGUGCUCCCAAAUGUGGUUGGGAGUGCUCCCUCGGCAAUAUGACAUUUCAAUCAUUUCCAUUGUCCGGGGCCCAGUUCGGAGUGCAUUUAAUACCGGCUAUUAUGGAGCCAGUACGUCGCUCUGGAUGGACUGCUCGCUCAACAACAGCUUGUGCUUGUCACAUAUUUCGCAGGACAUAUUGCACACAAGUUUUCCUGUUGUGCUCGGAGGAAACCCUUUCAGAAUUUGAUUCGUUGUGUGUGUCUACAAGUUGCCAAACAAAUAAAAAUGACUUGAUUCAAUUGAAUUUGUGCAACGCAACGAUAUGAAAUGGGGACGACAACAGUGACGAGUGGGAAUAUUGUGACAAAUAUGGGUUUACUUGUGUGUUCCUGGGCGGUGGACUGCCCUUGGUUCCCCCGCGUGUGGUCACCAAACAGUGCACGAUUUUUCAUAUUUUUUCCAUUAAGCACAAGAGUUUCAACUUGACAUUCGACCGCAAUAAUCCCCGGAGAUUUCGGGGCAGGCAUGCAAACAGUUGCUUUCGAAAAUUUGCAAUUGGAAUUAUUGAUAAUCUGUCAAAGGCUUGUGGCAAAAGUUAAGUAAGUCAAUAUGUGUGCUGGAAUAACCGAUUGAUGGCCACUGUUUUAAAAACAAUAAAAUUGCAAUUAAAGUAAUAAUUUCUUAAUUCUGAUUGUUCUAAGAGUUUAUCCUUUCAAUUUUUUUCUAAAACAAGAUCAAUAUCAAACUACUGACCAACUUUUCGAUUGGCUUGAAGGAGCAGCUAUUAAUGUCUUAGAGGUACAGCUUUUCAAGAGUAAAGCAAAUUUGUUGUCCCUAUUUUUCUUGACUUUUUCUAGCUGUGCUUAACGGCGGCAUUUAAGGGGUUAAGUUGUUAGCAUGCUUCUAUGAAUUGAUGUCAUCUGCGCGGCAGCUGUCCCAUUAAUAUGUAAAUGGCGCACAUAAGUAUGCUACGGAAAACACGAUAAAUCUUUAAAAUCAAAGGCGAGGCGAAGAAGCAAACGAAAAGACUUUUCCGAAUCGUGUGAGAGGAUGCGGGGCGGAGGGCGGGGGGUGAGGAAAGUGGAUGGUGUGGGUGGCACAAACUUGGCAAAUUCAAAGUGAAAGUCGAGCGUCUACUGUGAAUAGAAAUGGAGGCUGUGAGAGCGUUUUCUUUGCUAUUUGUGUGCAGCGAGGCACUUGUACACACAUCUGUCUACGUAUGUGUGCAAGCAAUUGACGCCUCCCUUUGGCCACGCCCCCUGGCCAUAUCUCGUUUAAACGGUUUUUGGCGCAAAUUCAUGCACCGACUGAGUGAGCGAGUGAGUGCAUGUGUGAGUGCAUUUGAGUGCACUCUGCCAAUAAUGCGCACAAUUUAAGUUUCGGCAAACACGCCCAAACACUCGCAUUAGGCAAGAAAAUUGAAGAGCGCCCCUCAAUUGAAUGGAAGUUUUGGUGAAAAGUUGCCAACUUCUCGGUCCCAUAACUCAUUAUUCAAAAGACACAAAAGUGGAAUCGAAAAGGGGCGACGAGAUUCGAGAUAUUUCAUCGCUCAUAAAAUUUCAGCAGGAGCGCAGACAAGCAUUCAUUAUGCACAAACGUACAGUCAUACUCGGUUGAACACCUUAAAAAAUAAAAAUAAAAAAAAUUAAUAAAAAAUAUAAAAAACUUGAUAAUAAUAUUUAAUAACUAAAAUGAAAAUUUAGGAAAGUAAUCAUAUGCAUUAAACUGAAAUAAGCUAUGUAUAUCCUAUCCGAUUGUAGAUUACCUUAUAAAGACCGACCACGUGCUCUAUCAAUAAGUUAAAAGUGUUGGGGGUCAGCGAUGAGCAGUUUCGGUUUAGAACCCUAUUCUCUGAGUGUACUCAUAUUCAUACUCAGAAAUGGAUGUGAGUGGGCGACAGGUAACUCCCAUUCAUUUCCUGGUUCGAGCUCAUGAAUAAAUGAAUUUAUAUCGACUCUUCUUGGCAUUUGCACUGCACCGCUUAUCCAAAGGGAAAAUCCGGGGACUUGGGUAACAGCGGGGGCUAAGGGGUCGGGUUAUGCCCAUAUGCUUCGGCUAGACGGUGGGCGUGGCUGCGUUGGGCGGUGGGUGGUGGGCUGACGACCCCAAUCCCCAAUGCACAAACCGAAUGCAAUCGAAAUUGGACUUGAGCCGUUUGAAGUGUUUUCGUAAAUCAAUUUCAGUUCCAUUAAGCUGCAAGAUGUGCAUAUAAUACACGAAUCGUUGGAGAUAGGAAUACGUGUCUUGGAGUAAAAAUAUGAUGCACUCUUUAUAUAUAUUCUUAAAUUUAUUUAAAAAUGUCUUAUGGUUGAAAAACUACAAUGACUAAAGCAGGAAAAUAUUUUAAGUUGUCCUCUUCACUGUUUUGAGAUACAAUCAACUUUAAUGCGUCUCUCUACUUAUGCAAAAUGAUUAUAGCCUUUAGGUAGCUUUCAUUUCAAGUUUGAGUUCUGUGUCAGACAUCUCUUAUUCGGUAAAGUACUUUUCCCGACGUUUAUAUGUAUUUCCCUACUCUAUCUCUGUCGCACCGCACCACCGUCUCUUUCGCAAGCUGGGGUCAAUGUGUGUGGAUUGGGUUCAAAAGUGCAACUCGUUGCAAAUUGAAUUCAAAAAACUUUAUAAAGUUAAUUUAUGCACAAUAUCAAUAAAAAUGGCUGUGCGGGAGUCGCAGAUACUACAUUUGCACUGCUCAUUCAAUAGAGUGCCAUAGAUAUAGAGCGGCGGAUGCAAAUGGCGAACGAUUUUUUGUGCCAACGAUGGCAAUUUUUUCUGAUAUGAAAAUCAGCAAAUUUUUCUUUGAUUUGCCUUUGCUCCUUGGGUCGUCAAGGACCCGCCAGGAUAACCCAGCCAAAUCUCCGUUCCCCACUGCUCAUUUGGGCAACUGUUGCCAGGAUUCCCUUGACUCUCUCUCAGAUUAAAAAAUAAAAUCCGAGCGAAGCGAAUCCUCGACGGAAGCGAAAAAUGUUUUCCUCCGACUUUUCCGCUCAUCGAUUUGGUCCUGCAAUUUGUUGCUGUCAUAAAAAUUGUGUAAUGUGCUUAAUGAAAUUUUUUUAAUAACACAAUUUGAGGGCACGUGAGUUUAGCGACGCAAAAUAUGUUGUACAACAAAGCCGAACUGUUGCACAUCAAACGAUGGAUGUCAAUGUGCCACACAUUACACGGCCACAAAAAAUAUGUACAAUAUGGGGGGAAAAAACACAAGCCAGACGUCGCAUUUUAAUAAAUCAAAGUUACGCAACCACGAGGGUCUUGCAUGCACUUCCUCAUUGUUUAUAUUCGCAUUUAAUAACACUUUUUUACGCGACCAAAGCAUGGGCACAAGUAUGCCGAGCAUUUAAUGGCAAGGCCAGGCGGGAAAACGGAUACAAGCAAAACACACUUAAUAUAUUUAUGUAUUUUAUGCUGCCAGGAAGUCGUCGCAAAGAUCACACAGCGUUUGCUGUUUGUUUGUCCGGCAAAGUCACUUGCUAAAUUCAAAGCAAACAAGUAUCAUAAACGAUGAAUUUAAUUUGGUUCACGAUUCCUAUUUGCCAUUCGCCUUUGACCUGUCGCCUUUAGAUCUUUCAGGUUAUUAAAUUUCUAUAAAAUUAACAUAGUUAUUAACUUGCCAAAAAAUGUAAGCCGCUUAUUUGUUGUGAGUAUUAGGAAAAUUAGAGUUUUUUGAUGCAAUAUUUCGACUAAUAAGAAAAUCUUUUAAUAAUGCAUCACAUGCUAUGCAAAUUAGGAUGGCUUAGUACAUCAGUGGCAAACCAAAAUCAAAUCAAAAUCGGAGAAAAUACUAGCAAAAUACGAUUUUGAUUUCGGAAUUAAACUGAAACGGUUGUGUUGUUUACCAAA
rnacentral:sRNA from 1 species